GGCACUGUGGCGGAGUGGUUAACGCGACAGAUUAGAAAUCUGUUCCAGUUUCUGGGCGCAUGUUCGAAUCAUGCCAGUGUCG